rnacentral:lncRNA from 10 species
UCCCACGCCGACCGCCGGCCCUCGCCUCUCUCGCGCCCCGGGAUCCCCCGGCCCCCGGAUAGACACCCUCUCCGGCACGCGGUCCCCUGACCCGCGCUCCUCCUGGUCGCGCUUCCCGGGACCUACACGUGGGGUCCGAGGACGCGGGCGGAGGGGGCGGCCCGAUUGGGGCCUGUGAGGGGCCCUCCACGCAGGGCUUUGUCUUGGGCCACCCGGACACGGACGCGUCCAGCUGGCGUCCCUGGGCGCGCGGCCGGCUCUCUCUGGGAAUCAGUCCCUUCUACUGUCAUCGAGUUUGGAGAAGCCCGGCUGUACAGCGUUUUCUUUCCUUUUUUUUUUUCCCUUGGGGGCAGAGUUGAAAAUAAUUUGCCAAGUGGAAGCAUUUUAAAUAUAUCACCAUUUGGGCCGGGCGCGGUGGCUCACGCCUGUAAUCCCAGCACUUUGGGAGGCCGAGGCGGGCGGAUCACCUGAGGUCAGGAGUUCGAGACCAGCCUGACCAACAUGGUGAAACCCCCGUCUCUACUAAAAAUACAAAAAAUUAACCGGGCGUGGUGACAGGUGCCUGUAAUUCCAGCUACUCGAGAAGCUGAGGCAGGAGAAUCGCUUGAACCCUGGAGGUGGAGGUUGCAGUGAGCCGGGAUUGCGCCACUGCACUCCAGCCUGGGCAACAAGAGCGAGACUCCAUCUGAAAAAAAGAGAGAGAGAAAGAAAGGAAGAAAAGAAGAAAAGAAAAGAAAGAGGCAUGACAGUGCGGCCACAGGUGUUCCUCUAACUGGGCACGCAGCGGUGCUCCACUAAGCAAACGAAGGAAGCCCACCCCAUCAUGCCCCCACUCCCACGCAGCCCGGAGCAUCCUCCAAUACCCAAACCUCUCGCCUGCCUGGGUUUUAGGGGGAGUGAAGCUCCAGUCACUUCCCCCUGAGGACAUGCUCAGAGUUCAUCUGAUUCGGGCCUGCAUCUGGGGCUCUGGAUAGUCAGGGUCCCUGUCGGUGGCCAAGAUUAAGGGCGAAGUCAGAAGGGAUCACUGGCAGCCCAUUCCCCUGCCAAGGGGUGAGAGGAGCUGCCUUAUUUUUUCUGUGCUGUAUCUUAGAUGAUGACAGGCUAUUCUAGCACAUCAUUUCAGAAGGCCUGGGAUGCUUCUGCCACAGCGGCAGGGCCACGCGUUCUGGCUAUCUGUCUACCUGGUCCCCCCACCGUGAACACGUAAUGACCACCACCAACACUGGGAGGCUGCUCUGUGGUGGCCAUGGGAAGAGCUUGUCCAGAUGGACAGCUCAAACCUGGGGCACGGAGGCUAGCAUCGCCUAGGCGCUUUGAGAGCCAAGCUCCCCAGGCUGUUACAAAAUCACUUUUCCCCAAGUGAUAACAGCAAGUAACACUUUUACCUAAAAACCCAAAAACCCAAAAUGGACAGCCCUCUGGGCCAGGGAUACACUGUCAAAAGGACUGACUCUGAAGGAAGUCUCCCAGCCCUGGGUCCCCUCCCCUUCCUUUCUGUCCCUCAGGACCUUUGCGAAGGUGGCAGAGGACCACCGGACAGGGAGGAAAUUGGGAAGUUGGUGACAAUUAACUCGUUUCAGAAUUCUGGCCACAUGAAAAAAAGGAGAGAAGGAGGCUGGGUCCUCUCCAAGACUGGUGCCCAGGUCUCCCCUGAGUCAGGAAGCAGGUGAUCCCUAUGCCCCCUCUGUAUCGCCCUCAGCCAGCGGCAGGCCCUGAACAGCUGACUGCCCUCAUCUGGGAUCUGCCAUUGACCCCAAAACACCCACCCCCUCUGAGUAAAGGAUGUCGGCCGGACCCUGUUUGUUGGCUAACGUGAGCGAGACCCCUCCUCAGCGGCCAGUGAGGCCCCUUCCUCACAUUCUUCAUGGCAGCAGCACAGGCCUGGCUGUGGGGACCGCCGUCUAAAAGGAGCAACAGUGCGUCUGUCCAUCGCUGUGUCCAGGGCCUCUCGAGACCCCCAGAUGGGCGUGGGGGAGGAGCCUUCCCCCAGAGCACGCUAGGAGGGGCCGCCAGGAGGGGCAAGUGCCCACAGUCCCCUCAGAAGAGACUGCUGGUCCAGAGGCAGGGAGAAGCUGGCUGGAGCCUGGAGGAUGAUGGCCCCGGCGUCAGGAGUUUCGGCAACUGGACCCUUGAGCAGAGGCAAGCAGUACCCAGAUUCUGUGUCCAGCGGCCGCCCUCAGCCGGGCUCCCUCCCAGUGCCACAGAUGCCCACAGUGCACAGAUGCCCGCCGGGCACUGCUGAAGCUGCUUCGUCACAGCCAAUGCUUGCCUUACCCAGCCUGACUGUGGUCUCCAGACACUAAUGGAGGUACUGGGUGCCUCGCAAAUGCUUCUA